AUUCCGUGAUGAGGGCACUUUCGUAAUAGUUUUUUGUACCUCUCCCAUGUCGACUCAUCAUCCAUUUGUUGGAAACUAGUGAUCUCAUUCUUCAGCUU
rnacentral:snoRNA from 1 species